rnacentral:rRNA from 1 species
UACGUAGGGUGCGAGCGUUGCCCGGAAUUAUUGGGCGUAAAGGGCUCGUAGGCGGUUUGUCGCGUCGGGAGUGAAAACCUUGGGCUUAACUCAGGGCUUGCUUUCGAUACGGGCAGACUAGAGGUAUGCAGGGGAGAACGGAACUCCUGGUGUAGCGGUGGAAUGCGCAGAUAUCAGGAAGAACACCGGUGGCGAAGGCGGCUCUCUGGGCCUUACCUGACGCUGAGGAGCGAAAGCGUGGGUAGCGAACAGG